CAGCCGGCGUGGAAAGAGUCCUGUGUGACUGUUUUCUCUCUCUUUUGUGUGUGUUUGUGUGUGCUUCUGUUUGGAUUUUUUCUGUGACAGUAGAAAUUUAUAGAAGAGGCUGCCUUACUGGAUACUCUUUGUUUGUAAUAAACUGUAUUCAUCUCCCGUUUGUGUGUUUACUUUUUUUUCUGCGACACGUGGAGUUGGCGUUUGAUCUGAUUGCCAGAAGAAAUUCAGCCGACAGGAACCCAGCAUUUGAGGUUCCUCCGUCAAGAUCUUAAUUGCUUCUUGGACAAGAAGAAGUUUCGAGUUGGUCUCCAAGGAG